rnacentral:rRNA from 1 species
CACUCCUACGGGAGGCAGCAGUGGGGAAUUUUGGACAAUGGGCGAAAGCCUGAUCCAGCAAUGCCGCGUGCAGGAUGAAGGCCUUCGGGUUGUAAACUGCUUUUGUACGGAACGAAAAAGCUCCUUCUAAUACAGGGGGCCCAUGACGGUACCGUAAGAAUAAGCACCGGCUAACUACGUGCCAGCAGCCGCGGUAAUACGUAGGGUGCGAGCGUUAAUCGGAAUUACUGGGCGUAAAGCGUGCGCAGGCGGUUAUGUAAGACAGAUGUGAAAUCCCCGGGCUCAACCUGGGAACUGCAUUUGUGACUGCAUGGCUAGAGUACAGUAGAGGGGGAUGGAAUUCCGCGUGUAGCAGUGAAAUGCGUAGAUAUGCGGAGGAACACCGAUGGCGAAGGCAAUCCCCUGGACCUGUACUGACGCUCAUGCACGAAAGCGUGGGGAGCAAACAGGAUUAGAAACCCUUGUAGUCCCAUG